rnacentral:lncRNA from 1 species
AAUUGAAUUACAUGCAAGAGAGAAAUUUUUUACCUCGUUUGGUGAUCGAAAAUUGCUCCGGUACGGCGGCAGGUGGCAGCAAUCAGCUCCUUGAUGGCUGGGCUGUCUUCUUCGGCGAGGGGCUCUAACGGCUAGGGUUUGGGCUUGGGUACGGAUGGGGUUAUUUAUACUCAUCCACUUUUGAUCUAGACCAUCCAUCGCUUUUAAUCUGGACCGUCCGAUCGUGAUUAAAUAGGGAGUGAAUCUAGGCCGUUCAUCGCGAUUAAAUAAUGAGUGAAGCUAGACCGUUCAUCGCGAUUAAAUAGAAAAUGAAUCUGGAUCGUUCAUCGCGAUUCAAUCUGGGCCGUACGUGUACGAUGCAAUCUUGGCCGUCCAUGCGCGCUGCAAUCUAGGCCGUCCAUGCGCACAUGAACGGAUCACAGCCGUUCGAUCGCGCGCAUGCAGAUGGCCCACGUGGCUCCCCCCGCAUGGCCUGCCGCGUCAGCACCUCUGCCGCCUGGCGCGUCCUAGUUAGUCAGGGCUGCUGACCGGGCAGCUGACGUGGCGUAACUUUUUUAAAUUGCGUUUUGACUUCUAGUUUUCGAUUUUUCUUUGAAAAAUACU